CAAAUCUCUUAUCUCUCACUCUCUCUCUCUCUCUCUCCCUCAGCCUCUCAAGUUUGAAUCCUCAAAAUUUACAGUUUUUAUUCUUCAAUAUUUUCAUUUUCUCCGCUCCGAAGUUUUUUAUUAGUCAAAGGCCGAUGCUGCGAAGGAGAUCGAGGCCGAUCGGGAAAGAUGCCCAAGAUUAGAAGAGAGCACAGUGCUAGCGUUAGGCCAAUCGGACUUAACCCUAACUCCCUCCAAAGAAAGGGCUCCUGUUGUGUGGUGGAAGGAAGAAGAUGAUGUGAUGGGGUUUGAUAGAGGGGCAAAAACUAUAAAGGAUUGUUGUGAACUCACCUUUGGAUGUAUGUUUCAAGGGCAGAAAUUAAUCAACAUCUUGAGAGUAACAUUACCAAGAAGAACAAAGAAUAUCAUGAUGUGUUUGAAUAGCACAGAUAGCUAAUAAAGGAGGCUUCAAAGGUUGGAAGUAUUUUGUUGUUGUGGAUGAUGUGUAGACCAAGUAAGACAGGAAUUACUUGAAAUUUGUUUUCUCCAACAAAAUGGGAAGCAAUAGAGUCCUCUUCACAACUUAGCAUGGGCAUGCAGCUAUACGCAGAUACCUUCUCGUAAACUGCACCCUUCAAAAUUUGUAAGAAAUGAGGAUAGUUGGAAGUUACUAAAGAGGAAGGGUUUUAUCAAUGAAAGUUGCUUUAUUGAGCUUGAGAGUGACGGAAAUGCAUUGCUAUAAAAUGCAGUGGACUCCCACUUGCAGAAGUAGUGAUUGUUGGUGUCUUUGUCCAAUACACUAGCAACAAUUGCUAUUGCAAGUGGUAAUCCAUUGCACUUUAUAGCUAUAUGUUUCUGCCCUCUUUUAGCUCAAAAGGACAACUUUCCUUGAGAAAAACCUUCUUCUAGUAACUUCCAACUUUCAUCAUUUCUUUAAAAUUUUAAAGAGUGUGUGACUUACAAGCAGAAUCUGCAUAUAUAGCUACAUUCUCAUGCCGAGUUAUUAAGAGAUUCUACUCCCUCUGAUGUUAUUGAGAAAAACAUUUUUCAAAUAUUUCUAGUCUUGUGGUCCACACAUCAUCCAUGACAAUGAAAUGCUUACCACCCUCUAAAAAUUCCUUUAUUUUCGUUGUUAAAUGCUCUUCAGGCAUAUCAUGGUACUUCUUUUUCUUCAUUAUUUUCGCACUCUCAAGCAGCUCGACAUCAUGCGUGGAGUUUGCAUUCUCUUCUUGAAUCAUUGUGUAAAAUUUACAACUAAAUAUGCAUUUUCCUCAUUUUAUUUAUAUAAUUAUCCUUCAUGUUAAUUUCUUCCUUGAUUGAGAUUUGAUUUUUGGGGGAAUAUGGAUUUUGAAGUGAUUUUUUGGUUGUUUAGGUGAACAAUGAUGUUUUGGAGUGAAGGGGGGGGGGGGGGGGGGGGGGUAAUAUUUCCCUUAUUGGCAGAGAGGAAGAGAUAGUGUGGAACUUGGGGCUUUGUUGGAUGAAUUUAGUCUAUGAUCAUGCUGGACAGGUUGUUCAGGUUUGUUCUUUCACUCAUUUGUAUUUUAUGAUUUCAUUCUGAUGUUUUGUAUAGUCCAGAGACAGUUACCUGAUAUUCUGACCACAUGUUAGCAUGUUUAAACAAUUGGGCAUCACUGUCAAUUGUUAUUUCAAAGAAACUGGAAGAUCUUAACAAGCUUUGUGCAACAUCACUGAUAUUGAAUGCUAUGAGCAUUAAGCUCUCUCCCCUAAUCAAGUUUAGGGUCUUAUGUUUUAGGAGUUAACAUAAUUUCAAGCACAUCCAUUUUAGGAUUCCAAGAAUGUAGAAUAUUUUAUUGUUGGUUACCUCUUUGUGCAUUGCAUAUUUGUAAAAGGUAUAUUAUAACAUGUUUAGUUCACGGAAUAGGUUGGUUCGGAUUGGAAUAACAUAUCCCUAUUUUAUGUCCUUUUCUUUCGAUUUAUAACUUUUAAUGCUAAAUAAUGUUUUGGCAUUUCAUUUUCCAUUACCGAUUCUUGUAUCUCACGCUUUGUUACCUAGCAUUAAACCCACAAUUUUGCACCUGAAUGGAGUUAAGUCAGAGAAGCUUGAAGCUGCAGCAAUCAACACAUCUUUGGAAGGAAAAAGAAAAAUGCUGAUGACCACCAUGCAAAUUAUUUCUUUAAUAUUGCUCAUACUUAGGUCUGAUGUAAAUUUUGUACUUGAAAUAUUGCCAUUAUGAAUUCGGGUUUUAAGGGGCAAAAUUGUUGUCUUUCUUU